rnacentral:rRNA from 1 species
GAUGAACGCUGGCGGCGUGCCUAAUACAUGCAAGUCGAGCGAACGGACGAGAAGCUUGCUUCUCUGAUGUUAGCGGCGGACGGGUGAGUAACACGUGGAUAACCUACCUAUAUGACUGGGAUAACUUCGGGAAACCGGAGCUAAUACCGGAUGAUAUUUUGAACCGCAUUGUUCAAUAGUGAAAGACGGUCUUGCUGUCACUUAUAGAUGGAUCCGCGCUGCAUUAGCUAGUUGGUAAGGUAACGGCUUACCAAGGCAACGAUGCAUAGCCGACCUGAGAGGGGGAUCGGCCAAACUGGAACUGAGACACGGACCAGAGUCCUACGGGAGGGAGCAGUAGGGAAUCUGACGCAAUGGGCGAAAGCAUGACGGAGCAACGCCGCGUGAGUGAUGAAGGUCUUCGGAUCGUAAAACUCUGUUAGUAGGGAAGAACAUAUGUGUAAGUAACUGUGCACAUCGUGACGGUACCUAAUAAGAAAGCCACGGCUAACUACGUG